AUAAAAUGAGACCCUCUUCUCUCAUGCUCUUUCACAACCACAGCAACAAUAUUUGAUAGUCCCUAAGAUGAAAUAUAUAGUUGAGUUUUUGGUACACCUAAGUGCCCUAGCACUACUAGUGGUGCCAUCCCCACCAUGUGGGUUGGUGGUGGGAGGUGGCUCUCCAGCAGAAGAAUAAUGAUUUUCUGUAAUGGGAGAAGUUGAGCUUGGUCUGCAGCAGCCUCUCUCAAAGGAGAAACACUUGUGUGGAAUGGGGAUAGUAUUGUUUUGCUAUCUCCAACCAAUCCCGAUAUGUUACGUGUGAUAACUUGUCCACUUCGCAUAUCGUGAUUGGCCAGGGAUAGCAAAGCAAUGCUAUCCCUGUUUCACAAAAGUUUUUCUGCUCUCAAAGGGUCUAACUGGCAAGCUGUUAAUUUCUCCUGCACAGGGCAAUUUCAAACCUUUGGCAUUUUACCCAACUGGGAAUUUCUCUGCAUCAUUAUGGGGUUCAGUUUAUAUAUAUAUAUAUAUAUAUAUAUAUAUAUAUAUAUGUUAGUAAGUAUCAAAGCUUUUGGUUUUUUUUCGGUAUUUGCUUCUUUUCUUUCAUAUUUAUAUUAAUGUAGCAGAAGUCAGCAGGCAGCUGGUGCAACUUUGAUGUACAUGAAGCUUUGCAGAUGAUGUAAUUUUAUUUUUCAAAGCAAUGUAUUAAUUAUUUAUGCUGGUUUUUAUUAGUCGUUUAGACUUUUAAUUAGCUCUCUUUAAUUUUAAUAUGAACAGUUCUUCAGAUGGAAUAUACCCCACAUCUCUAAACUCUU
rnacentral:lncRNA from 1 species